GUACUUUCCCGAGCAAUGUGAAUGGUGGGGGAUUUUACUUGAAGAAGUAAUUUUGAGGAAUUUUUACUGUAUGUAUUCAGGAAUCUUCACUUCAGAUGAAGUUGUGGGAGCUGUUGGAGUUACUGC